rnacentral:tRNA from 1 species
GCGGAUAUAGUACAUCGGUAGUACAUGAGCUUCCCAAGCUUAGGAGGCGGGUUCGAUUCCCGUUAUCCGCU